CCGCGCCCCGCGUGCUCUCCCCGCGCCGCCCACCCCGGAGCCCCCUCCCCUCGCCGCCGCCUCUUCCUCCUCCCCCUCCGCCUCCGUCCUGCCCGAGCGGCCGGCGCGCAGGACGGCGGUGGCCGCGCCGAGGCGUAGCGGAAAGCCCCGGCCAGGGCGCGCGCGGGCUGGGAGCCGGCGACACGGGCCGGGCGGUGCACUGGGAAGCAGACGUUGGAGUUUGCAGCUGGUCUGUAGCGUCUGCAUUUCGCUGGGAAGCACCUCGGACAGAAUUACAGAGAAAGCGAGAGAAAGCGCGAGAGCUUCCAGCUGCUGAUGGCUGCACCAUCCAGGGCUGGGCCAGGCUGAAGCCAGGAGCUCCAUCCGGGUCUCCCAUGUGGGUGCAGGGGCCCAAGGACUUGGGCCAUCUUCCACUGCCUUCCCAGGCCACAGCAGAGAGCUGGAUCGGAAGCAGAGCAGCCAGGACAUGAACUGGCACCCAUAGGGGAUGGCGGCAUUGCAGGCCGUGGCUCUGCCCGCUGUGCCCCCAUGCUGGCCCCACUGGAACUCGAGGGACCUGAGAAGUAGCACAGUGACCACUGUCAGAAGACACCGGGACCCCUUCAGCUUUGCCUUCUCCCAGAAGCCAGGGUUUGCUUGAGGAAACUCGGAACUGACCCGCUGCCCCCACCCCUCCCCGGGGCCCCUGGGCUGGUGUGGUGGCCACAGGCCCAGGCAUGGCAGUGCUGAGGUUGCACCGGUGGGAGAGUGCCCGCCAUGGGAGUGGCUGGCUGUCCUCUCCGUCCUCUGUGGGAUCAGUCGGCACCAGGCUGGGGCUCGGGGAACGUGAGCACGUGUGUGCGUGGUGCUCAGAACUGGGAUGUGCGCUCCUCGGGCUUCUCGGCUUGCUGGCCUCCGGUUUUGUGGAAAGUGUCCUCGGAGGCCAGUCCAGGUAAGCAGGGCUGGCAGGAGCCCUGGGAAGGUCGCGUGGACCUGCGCAGGGAGUGGAGGAUGGGCAGGGGGCUGGAGGUGGGAGUGGGGGGCAAGUGGCAGGGGUCCCCGGUGCUUCUGUAAGCCCGGGAGCGUGAGCGCCUCUGGGCGCCUCCAGCUCCAGGUGCAGGCACAGCUCUGCAAAGGUGGCCCCUGUGCAAUGCAGCCGUCCAGCUGGAGGACCUACAGGCAUCGUCUACAGGUGCAGGAAGAGAGGGAGGCGGGAGGGCGUUGGUUCAGCUUGGCCCUGUGCGUUAUUCUGCCUCUGGGGCCAGGUGAGCGGCCCAUGGGGUCAGGCCCUGGUUAGUUCUGAGUCCAGAUGGGACCCUCCUUUCACAGUGGCCUUCAGACCAGGCCCUGCUGCUGCCCAGGGGACGUCCUGCCCACGGUGUGUCUGGUCUGUCCUUAGCGGGCAGCGUUGAGCUGACGGUUCAUGGAAAGCCAGCUCCAGAAUGCUUACCAUAUUUGGGUUGGUUUGGGAAGUUUUCUGUUAGCUGCUGAGCCCUGGUGGGUUUUGGUGCUGUUUCCGGUGCUGCGGCAUGGGGUUCAAGGCGGCAGGACAGGGAGGAAGCCCGUUCCAGGCUCCCCAGUCUUCCUCCUUCCCUCCCUCCCUCUGCGCCUGCCAACAGGGAUUUCUUGCUGUCGUUUUCUGUUUGCUCUAACGGUUCUCAGCUGAGGCUGGAGGACUCCCCACAGCACGGUCCCCCGCAGCACCUCCACCCCAGGGGUCUUUGGAUAUGGGAGGGGCGGCCUGCCCGCGGCUGUCAGGGACUGGGGAGCAGGACCGCACAGGCGUCACUCCUGGGGUGCUGGUGCCAAGGUUUUGCCAGUCUUUGGUGCUAAGAUACGCAGGUGGUACCGGGAGCCCUCUGGACCCCAGGCCCCGCAGCUGGGCAUGGAAUCGCCCGUGAAGGCCCUUUGCCUCGGCCUGCCCAUCUGUAAGCUGGAGCUGACCGUGCCUCGGGGUUUCUGUGUCCGUCAGGCGGCCGGAGCAGCUGCUGGCACCCCAUGAGCAUCGGGAGUUGCUGCAAGAAAAAAUAAAUCUCUCCCGUCUCCCUUCCGAGUCUUUGUGUCUGCAGGUUUCAGGACAGUUUUUAGUUCCAAUGUAGCCGAGCGAUCUUAGAUUAGUUCCUGAAGGCGUGACUGUUCCUCAGAGGCCGGCGGUGCAGUGGGUGGAGUGCGGCGUCCAGCAGACGCGGUGUGUGAGUGGCAGAUACUGGCAGCCGUGAGGGUGCUUCCGGAAGUCGGGGGGGAAGGGAAUUACAAGAUGAGCUGAUGGCCGUGCGGCGCUGCCCUCAGGUCCGUGCACGACUUGUCGUAGUGCCUGUUUUUCAUGAACUUUUGGAAGGCCCUCGUAGGCCCGGAUUCCAGGACACUUUUGCACAAGGAACUUGAGGUUUUUAUCUCUCCACAGACUCUCGGAAGGACCCUCUGACUUAGGCCCAUUUUCCCAGUUCUAGGGUGGGAGCCGGCAAGUAGACUGUUCCUUGAAAUGAGUGAGCUUUUCUUAGAAGGCCAGGUGCUCCUGGAGCAGGCGAGGAGAGAGCUCUGUGGCUGUUUCCCCCACCCCGCGCCGGGACCCAGUGGGGAUGGGGGAGAGGCCUCCCUCGGCUGCUGGACCUGCCUCCCUGGGGGCCGGUGGCGGUGGUCUCGCUCCUUCCACCAGCCCCCCAGCAGAGCAGGUCGGGCUGCCCCGGCCGUUGCACGUCAGCAGCCCGGACUCGGGCCAGCGCUGUCUCAGCCUGUUGAACCCAUGAAGGCGUCCACAGCUUUGAGCCAAACCCUGUCAUCCACUGAUGUUUCCAGCAGCGCCCGUGCCAAAACCAACAUGAGCCGGCGGGCGCGGCCUGCGAGACCUGUCUCAGCUGCUGUGCGGUGCUCUCUGGUGACUGGAAAGAGCGCUGUGACAGGGCCCCACGCGGGAUGGCGGCCAGGGCCAGGCUCUGACGGUUGCUCACUCCCGCCCCGGGACUCUGAGGGCUCCUCUGAUGGACGGGAACAAUCCCGCCCCAGUGUUUGACCUCCUGAGUCUGAGUCACAGGUUGGACAGCUUUCCGGCGUCCUGCGACCAGCGAGUCGCGGAGCUGGGUUUGGAGCCCCAGCUCUGCCUGCGGCACGCCGGCUGGCCUUUGUCUCGGGGUGACUUCCCCGUGGAGCGUCCUUUCUGAAUGGAGGCACACAGUUCAGCCCCAGAACCGAAGGCAGGAAGGGGCGGGAUGACUGGCAUCCGCCGAGCACCAGACACUGUGUGUGCGUUCACUGCGCGUCUGCACAGCUGCGGCGUGGGUGCUGGACCCCGAGUGCCAGCCUUGUGUAAGUGUCACCACCCUGAGUGGCAGAGCAGGGGUGUGACUGGCGCCUGGCUCUGCUGUGCGGCAGAAGGCCCGGAAGCCAUCUUGGCGGGGUCACUUGCAGCUGUGGGGCAGCACAUGUGCAUGUGGGGGGCACUCCCCGAGGGGUCGGGUGAGCCUCCGUGGGCUGCAGCCUGCUGCCCGGGCGUCGGAGUGCCCGAGCCCCCGGGUGCCGGCCGUGAGGGCUCGGCAGGGCGGGCCCCUGCUCCACAGCCCUGGCUCCGGGGGCUGGCGCCGUGGAGGGUGCUCGGUGCAGAGGCUGCCUUAGUGACCGGGACGUGCACCCUGCGUCCUCGCUCGCGCUUGCAACCCGUGAUUCGUGUUGGUUGACGUCUGAUUCUCGCCGUUGCUCACGGCCGAAGCUCCUGGGUGGCUGAGCCGGGCUCGGAUGCCGCUCCUCCUCCUCCCGGGCCGUGCGCUCCGUCGGGGAGGCUCUGGGAACGCGCUCCGGCGGGGACGGCCGUUCACCGUCAGCCGCUCUGCGCUCACUGGUCUGCUUCGGUGGCUGUUUCUGUGGGGGGUUUGUGCGAGAAGGGGGUGACACGUAGGUGUCUGUCAUCUGCCUGUUUCAGACUAGCGUGGGGCCAGGGAACGGGUGCAGGGCAGGUGACUGCUGCCCGCGUGUGCCUGAGUGCGUGGUGUGUGUGUGUGUGUGUGUGUGUGCGCGCGCGUGCGUGCAUGCUGCAGGCUCCACCCUUAGCACUCGGGUGCCCUGCGAUGGGAGCCAUCUUGGCUGUGCCCACCAUUGUUUAGGGUUCUCCUGGCCUGACAUCCCCUUCCUCCUCCAGACCUCCAGCCCCAAGCUUCCCUUUCCAGCCUUCCCCAACGCGCGGCCUCUUAACACAGGCCGCGGCCCGCUCCAGCCCCUGCUGCAGGCUCAGCCUUGCCUCCUGGGCCAUGGGCUGGGGCACGGUGGGGAGGGGGAGGAUGUGGCAGGGCACGGGGGUCUUGCUUCAGCCUCGCCUCCCGGGCCCCGGGAUGUGAGGGACUGAGUGCCGAGCCUGGGAGCCGCUGGGGUCCCGAUUGGACCGUGGCUCUCCCCGGCCAGACACAGAUGUUGACGAUGGGCGUCGUCCUCCACCAGCCCCCACCCCUGCGGGCCCGGCACAGCCACCUGCGCCUGCCUGAUGGAUGCCGGCAUUGGGCUGGAUUUGGUUUGAGACUGGAAAGACUUUGUGGCUCCUCCAUCUGUCUGCCGGCUCCCAGCGUGAAUGACCUUUUGUUGUGUGAUGCCAGGGCUGUGGGUCCCUCGGGGAGCAGAGCCCAGAGCAGCGUCUGGGGAGGCCCUGAGGGUGCUCUGACCGCGCUGUCUCUGCACCUGCUGCGUCACAUGCUGCUGCCCUCCCUACCACCCUCCCUGCACUGUCUGGAUUAAGAGUGGGCCAGGAAUGCAGGGGGGAGGGGCGGCGAGGGCCCUCUGAGCCUGUUUGUGUUUAGAUGAGUCGCCCUGUUGCUUAUCAAGGCCUUGCUGAUGCCUGAGUGUUGGGAAUAAGGGAAGCCUAGAAAGGGGGCCCUCUGCCCGCCCCUCCUCCCCUACAUGCCUGGGGGCAGUGGCUCCCUGGUUCCCUGUUGUAUGCAGGGGGCACAUCUGCGGCUCCAGACCCCAUCUCUCCCCGGAUGCUGCAUCGUGGAGAACAGGAGCCGGCCCAGGGCAUGCUGACUCCCUGGCUCUCCCUCCCUUCUCUGAGCUCUCUGCACCCACACCCCGCUGUGAGGCUCCUGCCCUGGGCUGUUUUCCUGCAGGGAGGCCUGGGGGACGCUGUGCUGGGCAGGUCAGUAUUGUCUAGACUCAUUCAGGUAGCUGUGCCAGGCGGGGGAGGUGACCCCGGCACACAGCCUGGGGCAGGUCAGGCGGCAUCAGUGACUUCGCUGGGAGCAGGGAGGGAGGCCUGUCGACCUCUCCUUAGAAAGUCGGUGACUUUGCGGCAAAGUAAAAGGAGCUGUUUUCUGGUUUCCGUUGCAUUGUUCGAGAGCUGUGCUGAUUUGUGGAAAGCUCAGAUGGUGCGCAGACAGCGUGCGAGAGAGAUGGUGCCCGCGGCCUGCAGCCUGCGCUCAGAUGUGGGGACACCCCUUGUCGUGUCUGAAGAGUAACCAGAGUGGCCACUGGCCCGAAUCUGCGGAUUUCUCCCUCAGUCACAGUGGUGCCUCGGGCUCAGUCGAGCCUCCCCGCCGGCCCUUGUCUUACUGAGCACGUGCGGUGAGCGGAUUGCGGCCGGCCACCACGGGGCUGUGCCCAUGACGCUGCCGAGCGGCUUGCCCGGGGCAGGGCCACGUUCCGGCGUUUACCGUCCUCGCGCCGCGUGCUGCCCGCCCGUUGCGCUGUGGUCUGAAGUGAUGAAAUGUCCCGAACUUCAGGUGCUUUCCUUUUCUGGCACACGGAGCUUGUGUAACUAGGAGGGAGAGGUCUGAGGGCUGGUUUUGCAGCUUCAGAAGCUAGAAUCCAGGACUCUGCCUGCCGCGUGCGUUUUUCCGGGGGUGACCCUCGUGUGCCUACCAUUUCCUGACUUUGUGAGAUGUUGUCACCUGGACGUUACAUAGUCGAAAGAGCGCCCCUAACGGCCUCUGUUUUGGACAGUCUGUCCCAGUCUCCUGUGGCUCCUAACACUUUACCCAGGAGGACUUCUUGGCAGUAAAAGUCGAAAAUGCUAUUUCGUUACCUGAUAGGGAGUUUGAGAACCGGAGUUCUUCUUUGAAGGUGUAACCCCCCGAGUAAGCCCUGGAGCAUUUCUGGGCAGCAGGCUCUGGUUUCUUCUAGAAUGUUGGCCAGGCCCAGAGGAUUAAUGACCUGUUGUUCCGCCCCUUUGAACCUUAUCUCCCUGACCCGCUGCAGUCCCCAGUGUCACCUGAAACUUGGGCCUGCUCCUUGGCUGCAGCUCUCUGGCUUUGCACUCUGGAGCUGUGAUGGUGAUAAGGCGGUCCUGUGUCUCUUAAGGAGCUUUCCUUUCCUGCCCCAGGGGUUGUGCAUUGAGGCUCCCUGCCUGCUCCUGGGGCUGGCGUCCAGGGCUCCCAGUAACCAGCGACUGUAGGUAAGUGGUGGGCGCGGCUGCCAGCCUGGUUCUCUUCGUAAACUCACGUGGCACGUGGGAGUAGCCAGCGUCUCUCUCUGGUCUGUGAAGCCUUGGCGAGCGGGUCCACGUGCGUGUUCAAGUUGGACUGGAAACACGGGCUUCCCUGGCUCUGCCGCACGUGUGACAAGCGUUGGGCGUUCGACCACUGCUGUUGACAAUCAUCCUUUGUUGGCGUGGCAGAACGGUAGAAGGUGACCCUCUGGGAGUGGUGCCCGAGCAUCCUGGCUGUGCCUGGCGGGUGAGUCCUCAGGCCUGGGGGCUC